GAUGAACGCUGGCGGCGUGCCUAAUACAUGCAAGUCGAGCGAACGGACGAGAAGCUUGCUUUUCUGAUGUUAGCGGCGGACGGGUGAGUAACACGUGGAUAACCUACCUAUAAGACUGGGAUAACUUCGGGAAACCGGAGCUAAUACCGGAUAAUAUUUUGAACCGCAUGGUUCAAAAGUGAAAGACGGUCUUGCUGUCACUUAUAGAUGGAUCCGCGCUGCAUUAGCUAGUUGGUAAGGUAACGGCUUACCAAGGCAACGAUGCAUAGCCGACCUGAGAGGGUGAUCGGCCACACUGGAACUGAGACACGGUCCAGACUCCUACGGGAGGCAGCAGUAGGGAAUCUUCCGCAAUGGUCGAAAGCCUGACGGAGCAACGCCGCGUGAGUGAUGAAGGUCUUCGGAUCGUAAAACUCUGUUAUUAGGGAAGAACAUAUGUGUAAGUAACUGUGCACAUCUUGACGGUACCUAAUCAGAAAGCCACGGCUAACUACGUG
rnacentral:rRNA from 1 species